GGUGCUAACGUCCGGACUCAAGAGGGAAACAACCCAGACCGCCGGCUAAGGUCCCUAAUAUUGACUAAGUGGAAAACGAAGUGGAAAGGCUAAGACAGUCAGGAAGUUGGCUUAGAAGCAGCCAUCCUUCAAAGAAAGCGUAAUAGCUCACUGAUCGAGUCUUUCUGCGCGGAAGAUGUAACGGGGCUAAGUCAAUAACCGAAGCCGCGGAUUCACACUUGUGUGUGAGUGGUAGGGGAGCGUUCUGUAAGCCUGCGAAGGUGACUCGUAAGGGUUGCUGGAGGUAUCAGAAGUGCGAAUGCUGACAUGAGUAACGUUAAAGCGGGUGAAAAGCCCGCUCGCCGUAAGCCCAAGGUUUCCUGCUCUACGUUCAUCGGAGCAGGGUGAGUCGGCCCCUAAGGUGAGGCUGAGAAGCGUAACUGAUGGGAACAAGGUUAAUAUUCCUUGACCACCGCUGAAUGCGAAGGGGGGACGGAGUAUUGAAGAUCAUCCGGGUGUUGGAUAUCCCGGUUUGCGAGCGUAGGAGGCUGACAGGCAAAUCCGUCAGCGAAUCUCCGAGGCAAAGCAUCGAGCUCUCUUUUGAGCGAAGUGAUUGGAUGUGCUUCCAGGAAAAGCCUCUAAGCUCCAGUUCAGCGGGACCGUACCGCAAACCGACACUGGUGGGCGAGCUGAAUAUGCUCAGGCGCUUGAGAGAACUCAGGAGAAGGAACUCGGCAAAUUGACACCGUAACUUCGGGAUAAGGUGUGCCUUUGUAGCGUGGAGGGAGAAACACCCCGAGCGCGAAGAGGUCUCAGAUAAUCGGUGGCUGCGACUGUUUAUUAAAAACACAGCACUCUGCAAAGACGAAAGUCGACGUAUAGGGUGUGAUGCCUGCCCGGUGCUGGAAGAUUAAUUGAUGGGGUGCAAGCUCCUGAUCGAAGUCCCAGUAAACGGCGGCCGUAACUAUAACGGUCCUAAGGUAGCGAAAUUCCUUGUCGGGCAAGUUCCGACCUGCACGAAUGGCAUAACGAUGGCCACACUGUCUCCUCCUGAGACUCAGUGAAGUUGAAGUGUUUGUGAUGAUGCAAUCUCCCCGCGGCUAGACGGAAAGACCCCAUGAACCUUUACUGUAGCUUUGCAUUGGACUUUGAACCGAUCUGUGUAGGAUAGGCGGGAGCCUGUGAAACCACAACGCCAGUUGUGGCGGAGGCGUCCUUGAAAUACCGCCCUGAUUUGUUUGAGGUUCUAACCUGGGACAGUCAUCCUGUCCGGGGACCGUGCAUGGUAGGCAGUUUGACUGGGGCGGUCUCCUCCUAAAGGGUAACGGAGGAGUGCGAAGGUACGCUAGGUACGGUCGGAAAUCGUGCUGAUAGUGCAAUGGCAAAAGCGUGCUUGACUGCGAGACCCACAAGUCGAGCAGAUACGAAAGUAGGUCAUAGUGAUCCGGUGGCUCUGUAUGGAAGGGCCAUCGCUCAACGGAUAAAAGGUACUCUGGGGAUAACAGGCUGAUACCGCCCAAGAGUUCAUAUCGACGGCGGUGUUUGGCACCUCGAUGUCGGCUCAUCUCAUCCUGGGGCUGUAGCCGGUCCCAAGGGUAUGGCUGUUCGCCAUUUAAAGAGGUACGUGAGCUGGGUUUAAAACGUCGUGAGACAGUUUUGUCCCUAUCUUCCGUGGGCGCUGCAGAUUUGAGGAAGCCUGCUCCUAGUACGAGAGGACCGGAGUGGACACACCUCUGGUGUACCUGUUGUCACGCCAGUGGCAUCGCAGGGUAGCUACGUGUGGAAGAGAUAACCGCUGAAAGCAUCUAAGCGGGAAACUCGUUUCAAGAUGAGAUCUGCCGGGGCCUUCGAGCCCCCUGAAGGGUCGUUGU
rnacentral:rRNA from 1 species